CACGAUCUAUCUCCACAGCUGCUCACCCCAGGGAAUCAAGAUGCAGGCGUGAAGGAUAUCAAUAAACAGGUUGAUAGGUUUACUGCCAGGUUCAGAUCUUCCGCUCACGAAAUUUUCCCUUUGGG